GCCGUCCCCCAACCGCUGCGUUCUCUGCUACACAUGGUCUGGUCACUCCUGCUGUCAUGGCAGUCGAAGCCACAGUCACACACUUGCAGAUGAGAAAUUCGGAGUAAUCUUCAUCAAACACCUGGGACUCGUUGUCGCCCAUGACUCGAGGCUUAGGACUGCCCGCGAGGGCCUGACACGAUUGUUUAUCUCCGUGUCUGCAAUUGGCAUCAGAAAUCUACAGGGCUCCAGUGGAUCUUGGUUUUGCUUCGGUGAGGUUAAGAAUUCUAUCUGGAGGAUUCCCUUUGGAAGAGUCAUUGCGAAGAUUGUUUGACGUGCUUCGCCUUCGGGCAGAAGGCGGGCUUACUUUAGUGCAAUCGCAGCGGGAAUCCUUGAGAUUCUCUGACUUCUCGGAGUUGGAGUUUGGACGGGGUUUCAAUUCGAUUCCGAUUACUCUGGGGGGCGGC
rnacentral:RNase_P_RNA from 1 species